UAUUAUAUUGCAAAGUAGAGUCAAGUAUAUCAAUAUAUCACAUCACGUGUAUCAUCUCUCUGCUAUCAGUCUGCUGAUGUGACAAAAUGUUUCCUAUAUCCUCUGUGGUUAGCUAGUUCCUGUCUUGGUUUUUGAUUGUACAAGUGCACAUGCACAGACAAAUUUGAGGUAACAGACGGCAGUGGUGGAACUCAGUCAGCUGGAGAAACUUUGGUGGUCUGAGUUCUUCACUUGAAGUUUGGAGGAGGAGAAGAAGAGGGAGACAGAGGGUGAUGAUGAUGGCUAGGAUGAACAUUUACCUGCUGAUGUGGCUUGUCGCUGCUGCAGUCAUUUUAUCAAGGGGAGAUGACACUGAAAUGGAUGAUGAAGAUAUGAAUAGCAGUGGUGAAUCAAUUUCCUCCUCAGACAUUUCAGCGGGGGAAGAUGAUAACAAUUUAAAACAUGACACUUCCACUGAUGCCUUUUCGUCGCCUUCCUCUACAGCUAACCGCAACCAACAUGUGGUUUAUGCUCUCAUUUGUGCUCUCUUAAUUUCUUGCAUGUUCACAUAUUAACAAACACAUAUCACAUAUUAAAGAGCAUUUUAUGAUGAUUCUUGUGAUGCUAUUUUCUGGAAAUGUAUACUUUUAUAUAAACAGUAAAAUCUUAAAACUAGUUAAGUGAAAAAGCAGAUUUUAUACUGUUUGCAGAUGAUGUCACAUAUUUUCUCUGAUCAGUCUCUGAUAAAACAUUGCAAAGUCACUCUGUAACCACAAGUUAAAGCACUUCCUUCAGAGGAAUUGAAAACUUCUCUCUGUAUAUAAGCAAAAACAGUAGAUUGAAUUUUGUUUUAAGCUUGAUCUCAUUUCUGAGUUUAUAUUUUUAAUUUUGAAAAGUAAAUUAGAGUAGUUUUUGGCACAAAUUUGACUAUUUCCAGUUUG